rnacentral:rRNA from 1 species
GCCUAACACAUGCAAGUCGAACGGCAGCACAGAGGAGCUUGCUCCUUGGGUGGCGAGUGGCGGACGGGUGAGUAACACGUGGGAACGUACCCUUAGGUUCGGAACAACACAGGGAAACUUGUGCUAAUACCGGAUAAGCCCUUCGGGGGAAAGAUUUAUCGCCUUUGGAGCGGCCCGCGUCUGAUUAGCUUGUUGGUGAGGUAAUGGCUCACCAAGGCUACGAUCAGUAGCUGGUCUGAGAGGAUGGCCAGCCACACUGGGACUGAGACACGGCCCAGACUCCUACGGGAGGCAGCAGUGGGGAAUCUUGCGCAAUGGGCGAAAGCCUGACGCAGCCAUGCCGCGUGGAUGAUGAAGGUCUUAGGAUUGUAAAAUCCUUUCACCGGGGACGAUAAUGACGGUACCCGGAGAAGAAGCCCCGGCUAACUUCGUGCCAGCCGCCGCAGUAA